CUUCAAGUGUCUCAGCAGAGAUGGCCAACCUGAUGUCCCUAAUGUGUUCUCUUGUCCUAACUUUCAGGGCUCGUGUGGUUUUCAAGCUUUUGGAGCACAAAGGCCCCUUUUUAGCAGGGAAUCUCUGUUUUGAAGCCCACUACUGUUAAUGAGGUCUUAUGUCCAUCUGCCCCUCUGCUUGAUUUGCUACUUUGCUACUCAGAUCUCUAAUAGGAGCUUCCUGGUGGGCAGCAUACUCACAUCUGCCACAGCGGUAUUCAUUCUGAAACUGCUGCGCAUUGUACAAUGAAGAAAACCAAAUCUUGCU